rnacentral:rRNA from 1 species
AUUGAACGCUGGCGGCAGGCCUAACACAUGCAAGUCGAACGAGUGGCGGACGGGUGAAUAAUGUCUGGGAAAGUGCCUGAUGGAGGGGUAUAACUAGUGGAAACGGUAGCUAAUACCGCAUAACCUCGGUUGUGCCCAGAUGGGAUUAGCUAGUAGGUGGGGUAAAGGCUCACCUAGGCGACGAUCCCUCGCUGGUCUGAGAGGAUGAACAGCCACACUGGGACUGAGACACGGUCCAGACUCCUACGGGAGGCAGCAGUGGGGAAUAUUGCACAAUGGGCGCAAGCCUGAUACAGCCAUGCCGCGUGUAUGAAGAAGGCCUUCGGGUUGUAAAGUACUUUCAGCGGGGAGGCGUUACCCGCAGAAGAAGCACCGGCUAACUCCGUGCCAGCCGCCGCGGUAAUAC